rnacentral:rRNA from 1 species
AUUGAACGCUGGCGGCAGGCCUAACACAUGCAAGUCGAGCGGAUGAAGGGAGCUUGCUCCUGGAUUCAGCGGCGGACGGGUGAGUAAUGCCUAGGAAUCUGCCUGGACGUGGGGGAUAACGUCCGGAAACGGGCGCUAAUACCGCAUACGUCCUGAGGGAGAAAGUGGGGGAUCUUCGGACCUCACGCUAUCAGAUGAGCCUAGGUCGGAUCAGCUAGUUUGUGGGGUAAAGGCCUACCAAGGCGACGAUCCGUAACUGGUCUGAGAGGAUGAUCAGUCACACUGGAACUGAGACACGGUCCAGACUCCUACAGGAGGCAGCAGUGGGGAAUAUUGGGCGAUGGGCGAGAGCCUGAUCCAGCCAUGCCGCGUGUAUGAAGAAGGUCUUCGGAUUGUAGAGCACUUUAAGUUGGGAGGAAGGGCAGUAAGUUAAUACCUUGUUGUUUUGACGUUACCAACAGAAUAAGCACCGGCUAACUUCGUG